rnacentral:rRNA from 1 species
GUCUCAGUUCGGACUGUGGUCUGNAACCCGACCACACGAAGCUGGAAUCGCUAGUAAUCGCGAAUCAGAAUGUCGCGGUGAAUACGUUCCCGGGUCUUGUACACACCGCCCGUCACACCAUGGGAGUCAGCAACGCCCGAAGUCAGUGACCUAACCGAAAGGGAGGAGCUGCCGAAGGCGGGGCCGGUAACUGGGGUGAAGUCGUAACAAGGUAAC